GGGAAAACAUGGCUUCAGGCUUGUGUGUAAAGUGUCGUCCCAGGUUAGCUGGGAAAACAUGGCUUCAGGCUUGUGUGUAAAGUGUCGUCCCAGGUUAGCUGGGAAAACAAGGCUUCAGGCUUGUGUGUAAAGUGUCGUCCAAGGGUAGCUGGGAAAACAGGGCUUCAGGCUUGUGCGUAAAGUGUCGUCCCAGGGUAGCUGGGAAAACAGGGCUUAAGGCUUGUGUGUAAAGUGUCGUCCCAGGUUAGCUGGAAAACAGGGCUUCAGGAUUGUGUGUAAAGUGUCGUCCAAGGUUAGCUGGGAAAACAGGGCUUCAGGCUUGUGUGUAAAGUGUCGUCCUAGUUUAGCUGGGAAAACAGGGCUUCAGGAUUGUGUGUAAAGUGUCGUCCUAGUUUAGCUGGGAAAACAGGGC